AGAGUUUGAUCAUGGCUCAGGACGAACGCUGGCGGCGUGCCUAACACAUGCAAGUCGAACGGGGAGUUAUUUAUAACUCCUAGUGGCGAACGGGUGAGUAACGCGUAGACAACCUGCCUCUAAAUUGGGGACAACACCGCGAAAGUGGUGCUAAUACCGAAUGUGGUAUCUUGGUCGCAUGACUGAGAUAAGAAAGGUGGCCUCUGAAUAUGCUACCGAUUAGAGAUGGGUCUGCGUCUGAUUAGCUAGUUGGUGAGGUAACGGCUCACCAAGGCGACGAUCAGUAGCCGGUCUGAGAGGAUGAACGGCCACACUGGGACUGAGACACGGCCCAGACUCCUACGGGAGGCAGCAGUGAGGAAUCUUCCGCAAUGGACGAAAGUCUGACGGAGCAACGCCGCGUGAGUGAAGAAGGUCUUCGGAUUGUAAAGCUCUGUCGUUUGGGACGAACGUGGGAUGUGUGAAUAAUGCAUUCUAAUGACGGUACCAAAGGAGGAAGCCACGGCUAACUACGUGCCAGCAGCCGCGGUAAUACGUAGGUGGCAAGCGUUGUCCGGAAUUAUUGGGCGUAAAGGGCGUGUAGGUGGAUUUUUAAGUCGUGUGUCUAAGUGCGGGGCUCAACCCCGUAUAGGCGCAGGAAACUGGAGAUCUUGAGUGCAGGAGAGGAAAGUGGAAUUCCCAGUGUAGCGGUGAAAUGCGUAGAUAUUGGGAGGAACACCAGUGGCGAAGGCGACUUUCUGGACUGUGUCUGACACUGAGGCGCGAAAGCCAGGGGAGCGAACGGGAUUAGAUACCCCGGUAGUCCUGGCCGUAAACGAUGGGUACUAGGGUGUAGAGGGUAUCGACCCCUUCUGUGCCGCAAGCAAACGCAAUAAGUACCCCGCCUGGGGAGUACAGACGCAAGGUUGAAACUCAAAGGAAUUGACGAGGGCCCGCACAAGCGAUCGAGUAUGUGGUUUAAUUCGACGCAACGCGAAGAACCUUACCAGGACUCGACACUGACUGAAAAACUAAGAGAUCAGUGCCUAUCCUUCGCGAUACACGAAAACAGGUGGUGCAUGCCUGUCCUCAGCUCGUGUCGUGAGAUGUUGGCUAAAGUCCCGCAACGAGCGCAACCCUUAUCCUUUGUUGCCAGCACGUAAUGGUGGGAACUCAAGAGAGACUGCCGCAGACAAUGCCGAGGAAGGCGAGGAUGACGUCAAGUCAUCAUGCCCCUUAUGUCCUGGGCUACACACGUACUACAAUGGGCUUAAACAAAGCGAAGCAAGCCCGCGAGGGUAAGCCAAACGCAUAAACAAGCUCUCAGUUCGGAUCGGAGGCUGCAACUCGCCUCCGUGAAGUCGGAAUCGCUAGUAAUCGCAGGUCAGCAUACUGCGGUGAAUACGUUCCCGGGCCUUGCACACACCGCCCGUC
rnacentral:rRNA from 1 species